UACAGAGGUGCCCAAGCGUUGUUCGGAUUUAUUGGGCGUAAAGGGUGCGUAGGCGGCGGAGUAAGUUGGGUGUGAAAUCCCGGGGCUUAACCUCGGAAUUGCAUUCAAUACUGCUUCGCUCGAGUACUGGAGAGGAGGCUGGAAUUUACGGUGUAGCAGUGAAAUGCGUAGAUAUCAAGAGGAACACCUGCGGCGAAGGCGGGUUGCUGGGCCGACACUGACGCUGAAGCGCGAAAGCCAGGGGAGCGAACGGG
rnacentral:rRNA from 1 species